rnacentral:rRNA from 1 species
AUUGAACGCUGGCGGCAUGCCUUACACAUGCAAGUCGAACGGUAACGGGCCUUCGGGUGCCGACGAGUGGCGAACGGGUGAGUAAUGUAUCGGAACGUACCUUUCAGUGGGGGAUAACGUAGCGAAAGUUACGCUAAUACCGCAUAUUCUGUGCGCAGGUAAGCAGGGGAUCGCAAGACCUUGCGCUGAUUGAGCGGCCGAUAUCAGAUUAGCUAGUUGGUGAGGUAAAGGCUCACCAAGGCGACGAUCUGUAGCGGGUCUGAGAGGAUGAUCCGCCACACUGGAACUGGGCCAGGGUCCGGACCCCUACGGGAGGCAGCGGUGGGGAAUUUUGUACAAUGGGGGCAACCCUGAUCCAGCCAUGCCGCGUGAGUGAAGAAGGCCUUCGGGUUGUAAAGCUCUUUCGGCCGGGAAGAAAUCGCACGGGCUAAUACCCUGUGUGGAUGACGGUACCGGAAUAAGAAGCACCGGCUAACUACGUGCCAGCCGCCGCCGUAAGAC